AAGAGGUCUCAUAUUUUUCCACUUUUCAAUUUCAGUCAAUUAUAAAUCCUUGUCGCACGCCUUUUCGUUAUUACUAAGAUAUGCAUAUUGAUAUUUGAUAUAUUUAUCUGACUAUAAGUAAUUAGAAAUUACAGAUUUCCUCUGGGAGCCAUCAAAUCUGCAUACUUGAGAAUCCUUUUCUCAUGUAAAAAGUUAACUCAGGACAAUGAAUUUACCGUUUCGACUUCAUUCAUCAAAAUCCUUAUUUUUUACUUCCAUUCGAUGUUAUAAAGUAGCAAAAAAGGAGAAAAAUCUCUUAGCUCUCACUCAUAGAGGAUUGAUUCAAGAGAUCUUUCCAAGUGAUGACGUUGACAAAGUGGCUUCAUAUCUUUUAGAAAAACCGAGGACAGUAUAUGCGGGCUUUGAUCCUACUGCUUCUAGUUUGCAUGUCGGCAAUCUAUUAAUUCUCAUUUCCUUGAUUCAUGCUCAAAGAGGAGGCCAUCGAGCUAUUGCACUUAUAGGAGGAGCAACUGGUCGAAUCGGAGAUCCAAGUGGCAAAAAAGAAGAAAGAUCCCUAUUAAGUGAGGAAACUGUUGAAAAAAAUGUUGAAGGGAUAAGUCAGAACAUUCAAAAUAUAUUUAAUAACUACAAAAAAUAUUUCUCCCACAAACAAGAAGAACUUGAGCCACUUAUUCUCCUUGAUAAUGAUAAUUGGUAUAGAAAGAUGAACGUUGUGGAUUUUAUGACGAAUGUUGGGCGUCACAUGCGGGUUUGUCGUAUGUUAAGUAGACAAAAUGUAAAAUCCAGAUUGGAAAACGAUCAAGGGUUUAGUUUUACUGAAUUUUCUUACCAGACAUUUCAAGCAUAUGAUUGGCUUUAUCUCCUUCAAAACUAUGACUGUCGCUUUCAGAUUGGAGGAAGUGAUCAAAUGGGUAAUAUAUAUGCUGGUCAUGAAUUUAUUAGUCGUUACUAUUCUAAUAGUAAGAAGAGUGAGGUAUUUGGAAUCACUAUUCCUCUAGUUACGACGGACUCGGGUGAAAAGUUCGGUAAAUCAGAGGGAAAUGCUGUUUGGCUAUCUAAAGAUCUCACCACACCCUAUGAGCUUUACCAAUUUUUUUUGAGGCAAACGGAUCAACAAGCUGCUAAAUUACUACCUCUCUUUACAUUUCGUCCGUUAAAAGAAAUAAAUGAUCUCAUUGAGUCUGGAACAGUACGUAAAAUGCAAAGUGCUUUGGCUGAAGAUAUCACGCUUUUAGUGCAUGGUCAAGAAGGCCUGGAGAAAGCUCUUAAAACAACUCAAAUCAUAUUUCACAACGAUUUAAAUGCAUUAAGUGAAAUAAAUGCCCUUGAUCUCAAAGACAUUUUUAAACAAGCUCCUUACAUAAGACUCUUAUAUGAGAAUGGAAUUUCAGUAUUAGAUUUGGCUAAAAAGAUUAACUGUUUUAGGAGUGAAGCAGAUGCUAUACGAGUUGUUUCUGCGGGAGGAUUCUACAUAAAUCAUGAACGUAAAUCAAAUAUCGAUGAAAUUAUCCUUCCAGAAUAUCAAAUUUUGAAAAACAAUGUGUCAUUGGUGCGUGUUGGCAAAAGAAACUAUUUCAUCAUUGAAUGGACGUUAUGAUAGAAAACAUACCCAAAAAACUGAGUAUAAUCUAUAAAUUGUACAAGUUGAUUGUUUGUCAAUGAAAUAUAAUGCUUAAUGAAUUUGAAAUCUCCAAAACAGA
rnacentral:misc_RNA from 1 species